CGCCACUGGGUUUCCAGAUUUACGAAACAAGAGUAUUACUAUCAUCAUGGCGUCUAUAUGGGCGAUUACCAAGUAAUAGAUUUCCAUGGGGAAAGCAAGAAGGACGCAAAACCUCGGAUGUGCGAUUUGUACCAUUUUAUGAAAGGUUGCCAGGAUAAUAUUUUAUAUCGAGUGGAAUACGUUGCAGACGUGACGUUGCCUGUAAAUGAAACCUUGAAGAUGGCGAAUGAUAUCUUAGCGGAUCCGCAAAAAUGGCCGAAGUUUAGAUUGUUUUGGAACAACUGUGAAACGUUUGCGACAUGGUUGAAGACAAAACAGAAAGUUUCUUUUCAAGUGAUUGAAGUAAUAACUCGUUCAAUAUCGCCAGUAGCUAUUCCAUUGGGGUUUCAAUGGCAAGUUCUUUGCAAAUGUUGUGUUAGCAGGCGGCGCCGCCGAAGCAGACCAGAUUCAAAACAAUUCUUCACUCGAAAAGAAAGAAUAACGAUAAUUUUACAUGUAUGCACGCAAUAUUUAAUGCACAUGCACAGUUUCACGACAUAUUUAAUGCUUUCAUGCACAUGCACAGUUUCACGACAACAGCAGCGAACGAAACUUGAGAAUGUAAGGUGUUUUAAACUUGAAAGUGCUGUGACAUAUAAAUAUCGCACAAAGCAAAGGAUAAAUCUCUGUACCCUAUAUGGCAUUGUAACAUUCAAUUGUCAAUUAAAAUUAUUUUUAGUGUGAUACUGCGUGGUUUCGGUUUUGGGGAACGUUCAUGAAUAAUCGAGUGUGGAUCGAGUGUUAAACCAAUCUCGUACCCAGAGUAUGCCCGUUCGCAGGUUAGGUGCUGGGCAUGACUCUGGAGAAACGGAAUACCGGAUAUCCAAUUUUGGAUAUCCGGUUAGUUGUGCGCAUACUCACGCUCAAACCGCAACACUGAAUUCGCGCGGGCGUCAUUAAUUGCAAUUAUAAAUAAAAUCGUAGAAUUCAGUCGAAAAUUUGAUACUUUUUACAUUGAAAUCAAUUGAAAAAGAUUCAUUUUCUUGUGCUAAAAGUUACAGAGUAAAUAUAUAUGCGGUGUAUAUAAACCAAUCAUUUUUAUGGAUUUUAUACGGUCAAGAAAUGGUAUCGAGAGACUUCGCAAGAAGGCCGACAGAGGUUUUAUACAGGAUCUAGAUUAUUACAAACUAUUAGAUGUUUUUAUAAUAUUAAAAUAUGUAGAAUGCUUUAUGGGCAAUUGUGGACCUGUUAGCCUAUUUUGUUUAUUACAAUCACAUAGUGAUACUUUAAUUGGUGCAUUGUAUUGAUAUUUAAAAUAAGCAUGAAAAUAUUUCCCUCUGUUAAUACUCUAGGUCUCUAGCUAUAUCAUUCCUUUGUCCUUUGAUUUAACAUUGUGCCAGUGCCGUAGCCAGAACGAUAAUUGGGGGGGGGGGGCACAUAUUCAUAUAUUCGUGUUCUGCUUUAUUAAUUUCUUUUGAAAUCAAUUGUUUUUAUGGUAUGUGAACACGAAUAUAUGAAUAUGUGCCCCCCCCCCCCAAUUAUCGUUCUGGCUACGGCACUGCAUUGUACAUUGCAUUACAUUCAUACAAACAGUUCCAUGGUUAUAUCUAUUUAAUUUAUUUAUUAAUUGAGUCAUAAAAAAUUAUGUUGACAAUUAAU